GUGCUUGCUUCAGCAGCACAGAUACUAAAACGAGAACAAUACAAAGGUUAGCAUGGCCCCUGUGCAAAGACCACGUGCCAAUUUGUGAAGCAGUCCUCAUUUUG
ensembl:snRNA U6 U6 spliceosomal RNA